GUGGGGAAUUUUGGACAAUGGGCGAAAGCCUGAUCCAGCCAUGCCGCGUGCAGGAUGAAGGCCUUCGGUUUGUAAACUGCUUUUGUACGGAACGAAAAGACUCCUUCUAAUAAAGGGGGUCCAUGACGGUACCGUAAGAAUAAGCACCGGCUAACUACGUGCCAGCAGCCGCGGUAAUACGUAGGGUGCAAGCGUUAAUCGGAAUUACUGGGCGUAAAGCGUGUGCAGGCGGCUCUGCAAGACAGAUGUGAAAGCCCCGGGCUCAACCUGGGAACUGCAUUUGUGACUGCAAGGCUAGAGUGCGUCAGAGGGAGGUGGAAUUCCGCGUGUAGCAGUGAAAUGCGUAGAGAUGCGGAGGAACACCGAUGGCGAAGGCAGCCUCCUGGGAUGACACUGACGCUCAUGCACGAAAGCGUGGGGAGCAAACAGGAUUAGAAACCCCUGUAGUCC
rnacentral:rRNA from 1 species